GCUUUGAAGGCCCAAGAGAAGGGCAUCUGGUCUUGUAAAUCAGAAGAGAGGGUUAAAGUCCCUCUCAAGGCU
rnacentral:tRNA from 1 species